CGUUAUGAUGCGGAAAGAGGAGUCUGUAACGAAAUCUGAUACCUCUGUAGGCGCUUAUCCUCACGCUUUAGCUGGUUUUUGUGCUGGUUUUUUGAGCACUGUAUUACUUCACCCGUUGGAUCUUAUUAAAGUCCGUUUACAAGUACAAAACUCUCUUUCCAAGGAUUUGUAUUGUUACCAUUACUCAAACACCUUUCAAGCACUAAAGUUUAUAUAUAAGACUGAAGGAUUUCCUGGACUUUACCAGGGUUGUACCCC